rnacentral:rRNA from 1 species
CCAGACUCCUACGGGAGGCAGCAGUGAGGAAUAUUGGUCAAUGGACGAGAGUCUGAACCAGCCAAGUAGCGUGAAGGAUGACUGCCCUAUGGGUUGUAAACUUCUUUUAUAAAGGAAUAAAACGAGGCACGUGUGCCUUUUUGCAUGUACUUUAUGAAUAAGCAUCGGCUAACUCCGUGCCAGCAGCCGCGGUAAUACGGAGGAUGCGAGCGUUAUCCGGAUUUAUUGGGUUUAAAGGGUGCGUAGGUGGUUAAUUAAGUCAGCGGUGAAAGUUUGUGGCUCAACCAUAAAAUUGCCGUUGAAACUGGUUGACUUGAGUAUAUUUGAGGUAGGCGGAAUGCGUGGUGUAGCGGUGAAAUGCAUAGAUAUCACGCAGAACUCCGAUUGCGAAGGCAGCAUACCGGCGCUCAACUGACGCUGAAGCACGAAGGCGUGGGUAUCGAACAGGAUUAGAUACCCUUGUAC